rnacentral:misc_RNA from 1 species
AAGACUUUAUUGAUGCAAAUCUUGGGAGAAAGUUCUCAGAAUCAGAAGCUGCCAAACUUGGGAGAUUAGCACUUCUUUGCACUCACGAAUCUCCUAAUCACAGGCCCACAAUGCAAGCUGUGUUGGAGGAACUAAGUGAAUUUAUUGUCACUCCUUAACUUAUAUUUAAGAAUUCAGAAAUCAGAAUUGUGGACAUUUUGCCUCAAUUUUCAACGUCAAGAGGCAAGACUUCGAUCCUUUACUUACUAGCUGAUAUUGAAGCACAGUUGCUAAUUUUUACCUAACCAUGUUGACAUGUGCUUUCUUGAGGAUUGCUGCCAUGUUAUGAUAUGUAGGGAGUUGUAUUCAACUGAACAAGUUUUCUUGUAUACAGUGGCGAAUUUUAGGGGACCCAGCCCCCUAACUGGAUUACUGUUACCCAUAGUCUAUAUUAAAUUUUUUCUUUUUUAAUAUUAAGUGCAAUUAUUUGGAUUAAUGUUACCAAUAACUCAGACUAAUAUUAAGCGCAAUUAUUU